rnacentral:lncRNA from 1 species
AGGCAUUGAGGCAGCGAGCGCAGAGACGGCUGAGAGGCAGGAAACGCUUCUUGAGGAGACCGCAGAUAAGUUUUUCUGUUAAGAUAGGGAUUACUCUUAUUCUCUAGGAAUUAUAAAUUAGCGAAAAUACUGAGCUGUAGUUUUGAGUUAAAUUCGUGAGAGUAGAUCUGAUAAUUAAUAGGAAGGUCUUAUUUUAGGGGAAAAUGGAGACGUCCUUAAAAAAUAGUAUGAGAAAGGAAGAAAGAAGAAAAAAGAUAAUAUUAGAACAUGACGGAGGUUAAGAGCUGAAGCUUCUUCAUGGAGUGAGAAAGCUAAUUUUAAAAGGAGUUGCCGAGACAGGACUGCAAAGUAUGGAAUUUUAAAGUCUUAAAUUGAAGGGCAGCUUUUUAGAUUAUUGUUCAAACGUAAUGCUAUAAAUAGAACCUAAACAAUACUUUUAAAGUCCAGUCGUAGAUGGAUUAAAAUGUUUUAAAAGCCAUCUUUAAAGGUCAGUUGAAGGUGAUUUAAGAAAUGCCUUCAAAUUCACGGCGCGAUCAAAACUGCGUCAUUUGAAGCCUUAAGGCUUUCUUUGGAAGUUGAUGGAAGUAUUAGUGGAGAAAGAAGAUUAGAAAUUUGAAGUGGAAAACUCGGAAGACAAGUACAGGAAGGUGAAGAAAAGAUUAGUGAAGAUAGGAAAACUAGAAGAUAAAAAAUACGGCUUUUAGAAGACAGAAAAAAACUAAGCCCAGAAGGUAGGAGGCAGAAGACAUCUAGAAAGAGAAGGUUGAAAAGAUGUUCGAGUGUUUGAGGUAGAAAAUGAGAAACAAGCUGUUGGAGACAAGCAUACAAGAUAGAGGUCCAAGUAAUUGGAAGAUAGAAAAGUCCGAAGCCAAAAAAUUGGAUAAGUACAAGACGCAAAACUAAGAAAAAUAAUUUUUAAUAGUUAAAUUUAUUUAAAAAGCCCAUCAACUUUAAUUUGUGGUGGUGCAGAAGUUAGAUCUGAGAAGAGGGUUUUAAACUACAGUAGACCAAGACCAACUUAGAAGAAUAUCUCGAAGCUGUAGAGGGAAGUAAAUUUAAAAUCACAGCAAAAAGCUACUAAAAAGACUGAUGUAAAAAUUAAGGUAGACGGAAGAGUUAAAAAUUUGAAAGGCCUUAAAUCCAUACAGUAGUUUAGUUUCUUCUGGAAAACUUAAAGGACGAUAAAUUCAACAGCGAGGAUAACCAAGUUAACAUUUUUUGCAUUGGACUUUGAGCUAAGAUGAAUUUCUAAACCCUGAGGACUAGGCGCUAAUUAACAGCUGACCAGGUGCUACACAGAAGUGGAUUCAGAGAACCUAGGAAGACAGCAGCAGACAGGAUUCCAGGAGCCAGUUUUUGGUGAAACUAGGACUGAGGAGCGAGCGGCAGUUCGUGAAGAUAGGAAGGAGGAGCUCGGGAGCCAGUGCGAUUUGGUGAAGGAAGCUAGGAAGAAGGAAGGAGCCCUAACGGUUGGAGGUGAAGCUAGGAGAGGAUUCCAGGAAGGAGGAAGCCAGUGCGAUGUGGUGAUGAAGCUAGCGUGCGGCUUGGCGGCGUGGCUUGGCAACCCCGCGGAGGAGGCGAGCAGGCGGUGUGGAGGCUAGAUAGAGCGUCCUAGAGCGGCAGCCCAGUGUGCAAGGCCGGCAGGGAGAGCCAGUGGUGUGGUAAAAAUCCGUGAGGUCGGCAGUAUCGUGGGUUCUGCUUUGUUUCUUCACCUUUUUUUGGUAACAGUACGGUAAUCUUUGUUGUAUUUCCUAAUGGUGAUGGGGGAGCUGUGUACUUAAGCAUAAAGGGUUUUAUGGGGAUGUAGGCCGAUUUUCGGGUGUUGUAGGUUUCUCUUUUUCAGGCGUAUUUUCUCAUCUUGUCUGAAGCUUUUGAGGGCAGACUACCAAGGCCCGGAGGAAUAGUAGAUGGUCUGUCUAGAAUUCCAAAGGCAAAUGACUCAAGGUAACAGGAAAAAAGAAAAUCCAGUAUCAGGAUAAUCAGAACACCACAGGUUUACAGUUUGUAGAAACUAGAACACGAGCAGCUCUCACUUAAGGUCUGUGAUGGAACUCCAGUGGAGAAAUGGCUGGUACUUUUUCCACCCCUUAAUCAGAUUUUUUUUUAAUUAAAGUAUGUAACCGGUUAUUUUUACUUGAAGUAUUUUGGGGUGGUCUUAACAGGGAAGAGGGUGGGGGAGAAAAUGUUUGUUUCUAAGACUUUCCACAGAUGCUAUAGUACUAUUGACAAACUGAGUUAGAGAAGGAUUGUACUGCUAUGCUGUUGGCACCAAACACCUUCAGGGAUUGGAGCUGCUUUUUUCCUUGGAGUAUUCCCAGUGAAGCUGAAAUAUACAGCACAGUGCAGCUUUGGUUCAUAUUCAGUCAUCUCAGGAGAACUUCAGAAGAGCUUGACUAGGCCAAAUAUUGAAGUUAAGUUUUCAAAUAAUGGAACUUUUUAAGAUGCCUUUUAAAGGGGAGGGGCAAGUUUUGGCAAUUAGUUGGCAGUGGCCUGUUUUGGUUGGGGUUGGGUGGGUUGGGUUUAGGUAAUUGUUUAGUUUAUGAUUUCAGAUAACUCAUGCCAGAGAACUUAAAUACUUAGGAUGGAAAAACUAAAGAAAUCUCACCUCCCAAGUUGGCAAGUAACUCCUGAUCCUCUAGUUUCUUGUUUUACCCCAAUUUUUGAACUGGACAGCUGGGAACUUCAAAGAUUCACUGGAUUUAAAGUGUAGGGCUUGGGAAAGGAAAGUGUUGGAUUGGGGGUUGGUCUAGCCCACUGGGUUGACCAAGAUAAAAACUUGGGGAAUUGUUUAAACACUAAAGUUGUUUGGAUAUGGUAGUGUGUGGUUCUCUUUUGGAAUUUUUUUCAGGUGAUUUAAUAAAACUUAAUACUACUAUAGGAGCUUCAGAGCAAAGGAAGUGGCUUAAUGAUCCUGAAGGGAUUUCUUCUGAUGGUAGCUUUUAUAUUAUCAAGUAAGAUUCUAUUUUCAGUUACAUAAGCAAGUUUUUUAGUAUAGGAAAUUUUUGUAUGGCUGCGAGACAAGAUGUAAAGGUAUGCUUCAAAAUUGUUGUAAAUUGUGUAUUGAAUUUGCACCUAAGUAUUUGUAAAUCAUAAUCAAUUAAAAGGGGUGGGUUUUUGUUGAUGGGGGGGAAACCUUUUUUUUCUGUAGACUUUUUUCAGAUAACAUCUUCUGAGUCAUACCCAGCCUGGCAAUAUGAUGGCCUAGAUGGAGAGGGGAACAGCUCCUUGGUGAAUGAUAAGUAAAGGCAGAAAAGAUUAUAUUUCAUACCUAUCUUCAUUGGGCAAAAGCAUAACUCUGAAAUCCUUACUACUGAUGAACUCAUGGUCUGCAUAUG